AGGAGAUGAGAACAGGCGCGCGAUUGGCUUCGUCGCUGCCCCACCGCACUGGUUGUUUCUUUCGUCCAGAAGAAAGAGAGAGGAAGGAGGUCGCCAGAUACGCCCGCCCCGCUCCAACCCUCUUCUCCUCCUCACGUACGACACCUCCUUUCUCCUCCCUCUCCCCUUCUCUCUCAGACCCACUGGCGGCGGAGACUGGAGGCAGAACACUGCACGCGCCGGCCGGCGAGGAGGAGCUGCGCUGUCGCCGGCGCACCAACUGCGUCUACUGCCUCGCCUCCCCGUUGACCUACAAGAAGGUAUAUUCCCACAUUGAACUGAAUUAUUGCUAUAUUCGGUUGAUUCAGACAUAUUGUAUCUUCAAUGGCUUUCACUGCUGGGCAAAAUCAAGCGAUGGAAGAUCCAUGGUACAUUGUGGUGUUAUCUGCUACUGAUUUACAGGCCUUGUGGUUGUCGUUCCCAUGGCUGUACCGUUCACGUUUAUGCAGGGUUUAAAGUUUGAUGUAGGAUGGGCACACAAGUUUGAUGUUUGCAGUUACAGAUUUUUGUCAAAGCCCGCUGAAACGAAGUUUAGUUCAGCAGACCAUGUAUGUUGGAAGAAAGCAAAUUUCUUGCCUUCUGAAUCCUCCGUAGCCAUAAUAUUUUAUUUCAGACCGAAUUGUCCCAGCUCAGUGUAUCUCAGCGAAGUAGCGGGUUCAUGCAAGGCCUGGCCGACGGCAACGACUUUAGGGGCUGUCGUGCUUUGCAUACUUCAUCUAGGUAAAUUGUGCUAGCUUUCAGAUUAUUCAUUUUCGUUUUACCCUGUCAAAGAUCUUCUCAGAUUAGUUAACCAAGCUAUGUAAUGAUGGUGUUGUGAUUCCGGGGGCUCUGUUGGAGGAUCAGCUUUGGUUCAGAGGCAGGUUUUGGGCAUACCGCAGCACAAGCAGAGGCAUAUCUCAGUCGAUGCUACUGCAGUUGAUGAUGCCCUGAAGCUUUCUUCAGUAACUGAUUCAGCGUGCCGCUGUUCUCUAAGGUCGUUGAGUGCUGAGAACAGGCAAUAUAAUUAGGCUUUUAACGAGAAGAUGGAGGAGAUAAAAACUUUCAGGAAGUGUUUAGGCGAGUUCCAUGCCCAAAAUAAUGUUAUGUGAGCAGAGAGUGCAGGCUUGUGCUCUUCUGUUGAAGAGCUUGAGCAUGAGAGAUUGAAUCAACACAUAAGUCAUGAGAGCAUAUAUUUAGACGAGGAGAGGUGACUGGUCAAAGAAAUUAAGACCCUUGAAAAAACCAGACCGAGGGUCAGUUCCAAUGUUGCUAAGCAAGCUAAAAUGGAAGAUAUAGUGGCUGAGAGAGAUGCCAUACAUGAUCAGGUGAAAAUCAUCAUACAUGGAGUAAAGGAGGGAGAAGCAGCCAUGUCUAAGAUUAAGGUCCUGGACGAUGAGGCGAUGGGCGUGGAGAGCUGCUACAAGCUCGCGCAGGCGGCAUACGUCAACCUCGCGCUGCACACACUCAAGCACCUGGCGCCCGUCGUCAAUGGGCUCCUCGUCCAUGAUUAGCUGGACAACAUGAACCUCGAGGAGGUUGUGAAGGGGAACAUCUGUGACGCCGUUCUUUAGAUAAUAAUAAUGGUGCAAUACUGCAUAGGAGGAAGUUGUUUGGGCCUUUUACUGAUGGAUAUAUUUCUUACUUUUGAUCCUCAUCAAUAAUCUCCAGGUCUUUGGGAGUUUGCUAGCAGUCCUGGUCAGACUUGGACCAGGGACUAGCGUCCUGGAUGCCUUGGCAUGCUCGGCUCCACCGGUGUUGCAAGCCAGGAUCAUCAAGCUUCCCGUGUACAUCUACCACCCAAGUCAUGUGAACGAGCCGAUGAAGAUACUCAACAUUAUUUGCUUCAGCUACUUCCUUCGUAACUACAAGGUACAUGCAAAAAUUAAACCCUGCACAAGCGUACUUUGUUUAGUGAUGUAGUGGCUAGCAUUAUAACAUGUAAUUUAUGUUGAGAAUCAAUUUUUAAGAGAAGUUGCUGCAGUAGAGAUAGCAUUAGGCAGUUAAAUACAAAACAAGUGCAAGUAGUUCAGCUUAAACAACUAGAAUGUGGGGGGUCUCAAAAUUUUCCUUGAGAAAAAUCUUGAUGACGAAUGAAAGCAAGACCAACCUCUGCCAACAUCUUUUCCCUCAGAAGAUUGACAACCAACUAAUAUACUGAUGACAUAUUUAAAUCAACAAAUUCUCUCCGUGUGCAAUCAUUUCAUGCAUUUGAUUUCCCAUAUGUUGUUCACUCUAUUUAAGCUACUUAGUUACAAUUCUAUGUUUCAAGCUGUGUUCGGCAACCCUCUACUCCUUCGCUAGGGAGCGGAGCUCACGGAGCACCCUGUUAGCAGCUCACCAAAAUAUAACUGCAUGCCGCUCCGCUCCGCAGCGGAGUUGCAGAGCAGAGAGAUCCCGAACAGCUCCUUAGUUUCAGUUUAUUGUCAUUUGUUAUGUUACGUUCGGCGGACGAAGAAAUGCCAGCUGGCGUGCCUGGCGACCACUCUACCUAGAUCGGAGCACGACAAGGUCGCUUGUCGCCCAACACCUCCUCCAGUCGAGAUCCGCUGCCACCAACCUCGUGUAGGGAGCUCUUUUUAUCUUCCUUUGUAUCUCUAUGGAGCAGAAGGUUUAAAUUUACCAAUGUAUGGCUCUUGUUUAUGUUCCCUAUACAUGAAUGUUCAUAAGCAAGACAGGUGCACACGUAUAAACACUCAAGAGGUGCACCACUGAAGGACGCAAGGCAUGCCGCUCCCAAACCUGGCUUUGUGUAUUACCUAGAUGGAUUAGUGUGCGCGGGCAGUAGAGAAGCUCGGCUCCGUCCUCAGGAGAGGCAAAGAUACUUAAGAUGGAGGCCUGCUCGUGGAUGCUCCACUGGUUUACUGCAGUUUCAAGGGCUUAGGGAGCGCCUCCUUGUUGACAACCUCUUCCUUGCCAAGCUUGUCAUGGAGUGCGUCGUCGAGCCAUCAGCAAUGUCUGUUUUAUUUUGAGAAGCCGUCAUUCACCGGAUUUAGAUAGAUCAUCCGCGACUGCCACUGCCGCCUGUCGGAGCUGUUAACUCAGCUUUACCCUAUUUUGAACUGCGGCUCCACUUUUGGACAGAAUGUACGAUUAUGUAUGCCAGUAUCAAAAACUGUGUCCCCUUCA